CACCUGUUAGCAAGGGCCGGGCAAGACCGGUGCCACCCGCCGCGGUAACACCGGCGGCCCGAGUGGUGAUCGUGAUUAUUGGGUCUAAAGGGUCCGUAGCCGGUUUGGUCAGUCCUCCGGGAAAUCUGACAGCUUAACUGUUAGGCUUUCGGAGGAUACUGCCAGACUUGGAACCGGGAGAGGUAAGAGGUACUACAGGGGUAGGAGUGAAAUCUUGUAAUCCCUGUGAGACCACCUGUGGCGAAGGCGUCUUACCAGAACGGGUUCGACGGUGAGGGACGAAAGCUGGGGGCACGAACCGGAUUAGAUACCCGGGUAGUCCCAGCCGUAAACGAUGCUCGCUAGGUGUCAGGCAUGGCGCGACCGUGUCUGGUGCCGCAGGGAAGCCGUGAAGCGAGCCACCUGGGAAGUACGGCCGCAAGGCUGAAACUUAAAGGAAUUGGCGGGGGAGCACAACAACGGGUGGAGCCUGCGGUUUAAUUGGACCCAACGCCGGACAACUCACCGGGGGCGACAGCACUAUGUAGGCCAGGCUGAAGACCUUGCCUGAAUCGCUGAGAAGAGGUGCAUGGCC
rnacentral:rRNA from 1 species